rnacentral:tRNA from 1 species
GCCCUCGUGGUGGAACUGGUAGACACGCCCGGUUUGGAGCCGGGUGCCGCUCCCGUGACAAGGAAUCAGCGGCGUGUGGGUUCAAGGCCCACCGAGGGCA